rnacentral:rRNA from 1 species
ACGAACGCUGGCGGCGUGCUUAACACAUGCAAGUCGAACGGAAAGGCCCUGCUUUUGUGGGGUGCUCGAGUGGCGAACGGGUGAGUAACACGUGAGUAACCUGCCCUUGACUUUGGGAUAACUUCAGGAAACUGGGGCUAAUACCGGAUAGGAGCUCCUGCUGCAUGGUGGGGGUUGGAAAGUUUCGGCGGUUGGGGAUGGACUCGCGGCUUAUCAGCUUGUUGGUGGGGUAGUGGCUUACCAAGGCUUUGACGGGUAGCCGGCCUGAGAGGGUGACCGGCCCCAUGGGGACUGAGAUACGGCCCAGACUCCUACGGGAGGCAGCAGUGGGGAAUAUUGCACAAUGGGCGGAAGCCUGAUGCAGCAACGCCGCGUGCGGGAUGACGGCCUUCGGGUUGUAAACCGCUUUCGCCUGUGACGAAGCGUGAGUGACGGUAAUGGGUAAAGAAGCACCGGCUAACUACGUG